CACCACGGCGCAUACCGGGGCUCACUUUCUCCAGCCCACUUGCUGUUGCUUUGCCGGCCGCAUCUCUCACCCUCUUUCUCGCGGCUGUACAUCGCACUUUCUUUCACUAGGGUAUUGCCACCACCGCCGCACCACCACACCCAGCACCACCACCAGCAGCAGCACGGGGGACGCGGAAAUGUCCGCGCACGACUCCUCAGCGGUGGUCCUCAUCGCCCACAUGAAUGACAUUGAGCGGCAGCGCCGCGUGCUGAGCAUGAGCCAAAGGGAACAGGAGGCCAAGAUCGCCUUUACCACCGCAGAGAAGGAGCAGCUGGUGCAGGCCGCCAAGGCUGCGGAAGCCGAGGAGGCGCAGCUGAAAGACGACCUCGAGGUCCUGGCGGCAGAGCAGCAGCAACUGGAGUUGCAGAAGAUGGAGGCCACCGACCGCCUACGCAAGACGCAGGCAGAAGAAGCGCUGCACACGGCAGCCAUCGAGGUCGACCUGCAAACGCUGGCGAAGGAAAAGGUCCUUUGGCACGAACGGGCACAGGACCUGGAGUCGUUGCGGCGCUCGUGGGAGGAGGACGCCGCUACGUCGUCCUGCAUCGGCGCGCUGCGCCAAGAGAGCGAGAUGCUCGCGCUGUUGAAGACAGAAAAGACAGCUGUUGAGGAUGCGUUGGCAGAGACCAUGGCAGCUAUUGAGAAAGUGCGAGCUGAGCAGCAGGCUCGGCUCACGUGCGUCGGCCCCAUUGGUGCCGCUGCCGAUGCGGUGCAGUGUUCUGGGCUAGCUAGGGCGCUGGCAUCUAUGCACGACUCGGCUUUGAGCGAUGGCAACUCUGCAACCGUCAACGACGACGACUCGGCAGCCGCUCUCGAGGAGGAGAUGAAGCGGGCUGACUACGAGGCCGCGCAGGCGACAGCUCGUCAUGGGCGAACCAUUGCAGUCUUGCAAAGAGAAGUGGACGCGCUUUCCACCCGCGCCGGCGAGCUGCAGCAGCUGCUCUCCAGUAUCGGGGCGUCGCGGCAGGAGGUGCUUUCCCGCACGCGAGACCUCCAGCACUGCAAGGAGACGGGUCUUUGCCGUCGCUGCUUCACGUAAGGUAUGACUUGUGAGGGGCGACAAUCCGAGAUGGCGGGAGUGUUUUCUUUUUCUUCCUGUGCCACCGUAUUCGGUGGCUGUCUCUCUCUUUCUUUUUUUCCUUCUGCUGUGCUUCUUCAUGUGGCUUACCUUCAUGAGUGCUCAUCUGCUAAUUCGUUCAAACGACCGAGGCGACUUUGUGCUGGACGCCCCUGCACCACACACACACACACAUACACAGAGAGAAAGAGAGAACUUGUGCCGUGCAGGAAAAUUAAGGGCUACCGUUCCGCUCGGACGUAGCGGUGCAGCUUUGCCGCACUCAGUUGCACAACAGAGGGUGCCAAUUUGCAGAAAUCCGACCCUGAUGCGCGUGUAGGGAAGUGAGAGGCAGUGUGCGCACUGUAGCUUUCCUGCUGGCUUCUUCGACGCGCUCGCCCUUCUCCUGCCAGCACAUUUGACCUUUCUUGCCGGCGUCUGCCUCACUCGCUCUUCUCAUCUUGACGUGCGUGUCUGUUCACAACACCCGCUCUGGUGCUGCUUUGUGUGAUGCGUUGUUGCACCAUCCUGCGCGCCACCACAUUGCACGCCCGCGCAACUGUGGUUCCCUUUACCACCUCCUCUUCCUGCUAUCGCGCUCUCGAG
rnacentral:misc_RNA from 1 species